GGACUGAAGAUCUGACUACUAGACAGAGUGAUAGACACUGAACAUCAUCUAACAUGUUUAACAUUGAUUACAUAAUAGGGCUACUACUACUGAUAUUAGGACUGUCAGGUGUUCAGGGUCAGACACUGACUGAGUCUGUGCCUGUGGGUAAAAAGCCUGGAGAAUCACACCAGCUGACCUGUACAUAUGAUGGAAUCUCAAACGAUAACGCUGCCAUUGGCUGGAUCAGACAGGCUCCUGGGAAAAGGCUGGAGUGUGUUGCUUAUAUUUCUGCUCCAAGUGGUAGUACUGUCUCCUACUCCCAGUCUGUUAAGAAUCGGUUCACCAUCUCCAGAGACAACAGCAAGCAGCAGGUGUAUCUCCAGAUGAACAGUCUGAAGACUGAAGACUCUGCUGUUUAUUAUUGUGCCAGAGACACAGUGACACAGGAGGCUGCAGCACUGUACAUAAACUGAUGAAGCACUUUUGUGUGACAGACAAGAAACUGAUGAUCCAGCAUAAAUUCCAAGUGU